UCACACUGGUGGCCAAUCAUAAACAUAAUACACGCAAGCUAAAUAAAAAAAACAAAACAUUUAUACUGUACUAACUGCUAGAACUUAGAGCAAACACUAUCUAAUGCGAUAAUUCGUCAAAUAACUCAUCAAAACUGUCUACAAUUCAUACAAGCGCUGCAAAACCAUCCGCCUCCAGUUUCGAGAGAGGCGCCGACGGUGUCCAGGCCUGUUAUAGAGGGCGCCAUGUGUUGUCCCCUUUAAGUUGUAUGUUUGUGUCCCCUUUAAACUCCUUAACUUUGUCCCCAUUUAUAUAACCUAAGCUUUGUGGGGUUUUUGGAUCAUUACAAUUAUGUGCUACUGGUGUCAACAUCCUUUUGAACUGAGUGACCUUGAAACUUUCAAUUACAACCACU